AGGGACUGGCCGUAGGCGCAGUAUAAAGCCGAUUUCAGACUCCGAAACAAGUAAGGAUUUCUCACCCUAUUUUCUAUCACGGUAUUAAAGCUCAAUAAAUGAUAAAACAGUAUUUCAUGAAUUGUGUAUAAUUAAUUAAGGUUGCUAAUGGAGCCCGAAUCUGAUGUAUUUUUCGGUCAGUUGUUGUUUGAUCUAUUUUACAAUUUUAAAUGCAGUA
rnacentral:lncRNA from 1 species